AUUGAACGCUAGCGGCAUGCUUUACACAUGCAAGUCGAACGGCAGCGCGGGCUUCGGCCUGGCGGCGCGUGGCGAACGGGCGAGUAAUGCACCGGAACGUGCCCAGUAGUGGGGGCUAGCACGGCGAAAGCCGGAUGAAUACCGCAUACGACCUGAGGGUGAAAGCGGGGGACCGAAAGGCCUCGCGCGAUUGGCGCGGCCGAUGUCGGAUUAGCUAGUUGGUGGGGUAAAGGCUUACCAAGGCGACGAUCCGUAGCUGGUCUGAGAGGCCGACCAGCCACACUGGAACUGAGACACGGCCCAGACUCCUACGGGAGGCAGCAGUGGGGAAUUUUGGACAAUGGGCGCAACCCUGAUCCAGCCAUGCCGCGUGCGGGAAGAAGGCCUUCGGGUUGUAAACCGCUUUUGUUCGGGAAGAAAUCCUCUGGGCUAAUACCCCGGGGGGAUGACGGUACCGGAAGAGUAAGCACCGGCUAACUACGUG
rnacentral:rRNA from 1 species